rnacentral:rRNA from 1 species
CUCGUAGGCGGCUUGUCGCGUCGGCUGUGAAAACCUGGGGCUCAACCCCGGGCCUGCAGCCGAUACGGGCAAGCUAGAAUUCGGUAGGGGAGACUGGAAUUCCUGGUGUAGCGGUGAAAUGCGCAGAUAUCAGGAGGAACACCGGUGGCGAAGGCGGGUCUCUGGGCCGAUAUUGACGCUGAGGAGCGAAAGCGUGGGGAGCGAACA